rnacentral:ncRNA from 2 species
UGAUUUUAAACGGGAGAGACCGCUACAUGUAGUGGCGCCGAAGGUAUAAUAAGUAAAACUUAGAAGGACUCAGGCAAAAGGACCGUUUGAGGGAC